GGAGUAGGAAGGUGAGUGACAAAAGGAGGAAAAAUCGAAUGGCGUGUUAUCAAGGUCGCUGUUGCAGACAGCAAGGCUCUGUUCUGUCAGGACUUCUGCGAAAUGUACGCAGUGCCUCCAAGAAUUGUCGACAACAGGACAGUCAUCUCCGGCUCCUGGUGGCAUAAAUUCCUCUGCACUUCCAGGGCCCACACCGGCUGAGACCAUCACCGAGCUGGCUGUGAUCCAGGGGGCCCAGGCAUGUGACUCGAGCACCAACAGGGCCUGCUGCCCCAUGGUUGUACAUCUCAGUUGUAAGUCCUUCCAGUUCUUCUAUGUGAGCCGCCACCACAGCAUUGACAGACAGGUGGUGUGGUUCCGUGACCAGAAAGUGAACCCAGGCCGCUGAAGUGAGAUCAUCUACUGCUCCAUUCAACUACAUGGCUUCCAGAUUUGCACCAGUAUCUCCAGGGUGCUCUUCAGACGUACAGAUUCCUGAGCCCCAUCUCAGACCAGCUGAAGAAUAUCUGGGCAGGAGGGCUCAGAGACCAGAAUUUGAUAAGGUACCUGAGGAAUUCUCAUGAUCCUGUCUCUGACCUGGAUGCACAUGGAUAUUAGCAUUGGUUCUUUAAGAAUGGAUCUCAGCAUCUACCUUCUUACAAGUGUUUAAGUUUCCUAAAUGCUCUCCAUCUUGCUAUUAUAAAUUAUCUCUUGUCUUUAAGAGUUUCAGGCUGAACACAAUAAAGGGAAAGGAAGGCAGAGGCUGCAAUAUCAUUUAUUUGCUCCUGGAACAGAGAACUCAGCCCAAGCCUUACUCUUAUUGCCAUGGUCCUGAUGGUUCUAAGGUGAAUUGUUAAUGUGCAUAGCUGGGCUUAUACAGACCUCUCUGGGGCCAGUGGAAACCCAGCUACUAUGGCCUCUAAAAGUAGAAUGUUCUGGCAGCCUGAGCUGUGGACAAAUCCUCCCAUUCUCG
rnacentral:lncRNA from 1 species